rfam:Cajanus cajan chromosome 2, whole genome shotgun sequence.
AGGUGCGAUCAUAACAGCACCAAUGCACCGGAUCUCAUUAGAACUCUGCAUUUAAGCAUGCUUGGGCGAGAGUAGUACUAGGAUGGGUGACCGCCUGGGAAGUCCUCGUGUUGCAACUC